AGGACUACACCCAUCUGAAGACUGGUUGAUGUAGGACGACAAAGGCCUGGCCACUUUACCUAUAUUUGGGACAACUUUGAAAGACCACUUUAGCUCCAGAGCUUACCAUGAGCUUGGCUGAGGCCUUUGUUGCAACUAAGUUGUAGUUCAACUUGCCCCUCUGUCCAACCUGCUUCCCUCACUUCCCCAUAGUGCUCUUACUAAGAGCACACCUCAAUAAACCUACUCACAACUCUCCAUCUCAGAGUUUGUUUUCUGGCGAUCUCAACAGAAGACAGCUGGCACCAGAAGUUGUCUGCAGGAGCUGCCUCUACAAUGGGGAUGUGAAGCUGGGUCCCUCACUGGCUGGCUGGUGGGUGGAGCUCGGGUGGCACUUGGUAUGCUGUGGUAGUUCAAUUGCUAAGACUGGUGGUGGUGGUGAGUUGGAAUCAAAUACUGGUGGAAGGGACGCAGUAGCAGGUGCAAUAUCUCAGGUGUUUAAGGAGUUGGGUCAAGUUGUGAUUAUAAGGACUAUGCCAUCAGAUGACUGUCCUGAAGGGCCACAUACUCACUGGAGCAAGAUAAUAAAAGGGUGAGAGUGACUAAUCACAUUUAAGGUAAGAUGUGAAAGUUUCAGGGUCCCCUUGACAGCAUAGAAAGAUUUUUCAUCUCCUGCACCUGGAGGGCAGAAAAAGCUCAGGGUCAGGCUCAAGACUUAAUCAUGAGGGUAGCUGAACUCCAGAGAAGGUUCAGUUCUCAACCACAGCAAGUCUGCAAUGCCACCAUUGUCACGGUUGGGAAGAAGUAAGACCUUGAAAUGGGAUAGGGACAUCUGGGCCAAUACACUUGAGGAUCAUGAGCCCUCUGGGCCUGGAGAAGGGGGUCACUCCUCCCUGUUAAAGGCUUUUCCCCUCCUCUGCUUAAAGAUGUUGUAACCUCUUUCAACAAAAAUUGAAUGAUCAUGUGGAGUUUGUUACUAGUUGUCUUCAAUAAGAACAAAUAAAUUAAAAAGGGCUGAAGAGAGAACUAUGAAGCACUUACUUUAAAUUAAAAAAGAAAGGGUAAGUUUAGAAUUGAAAUGUCACUGUCACCAGAAUUACCACAUCUCAGAUAAAUGUUGCUGUAAGUCCAUUCCUAGGGCGUAAGUCAGGAAGGAGUUGUUGGGCUGACCCUGGCUCUGAGUGAAUGGCCCAAUACAUGGUGGGUACAUAGUGACUACCUUGGCAUCCAGAGAAGGCAUAGUUUAUGUAAAGGGAGCCUGGGAGCUGUUAAGAGUUUUAGAAUCUUCUUCCCUCAGUCUUCAUGGGGGUUUAGUGAUAAAAUGGGAGGCACAGUCUCACGUCAGGCAGCCCUGGCUGGGUGGGGAUUCUCCUGCCCUUUGUAGGUUGUGUCACCCCAAGCCAGUUUCUUAGCUUCAGUGAGCUUCAGUUUCCCCAUGUGUAAAUUAAUGUUAAUAAAACCUCCUUCAGAGCUGCUGAGAGGGUACAUAAGAACAAAUGAACAACACAUAGCGCCAUGCUCACCUGCAGUGUGAAGGGUGAGAGGGAGAGUGACCAGAGUGGGAGGGGUCUCCUACCAACCCAGCUCUGGGAGGCCUCUGGGACCCAGAAAACCACCGAGGGUAGCAGGAAGGGAGGCCCUGGCCAACUGUGAGAAGGCAGAGGGAUUGAAUCUGGUUGGCCAAAGGGAGAAAGAGGCCAUCUGAUGACGUCCCUGUAUCCGGGCAGCAUUCUGUCAAUUACCCGGGCUGGGACGCUUCCCAAUUUCAUAAAUAGUCAAAGGGCAUUGAAUCAUCGCGAAUCAUAAAGAAUGGCUUCUUUGUGCUAAUUUUAUUUCCUAGCCCAGCUUGCCUUUCCAUCUGUUUUCAGCAUGACCCCGAUUUCUGCCUAAUUUCCCAGUUGGACGCUAGAAGCCGAGAGAGGUUAAGUGAUUUGCCCAUAAGCCUGUGGUGUGGUUACUUUUUAUAGUGGUGAAGUCUCCAUGGCCCUGUCAGGGCCUCCUCCACAGUCAUCCUUCAGCACAAUCCAGGAAAAACUGCGAGGCGAGGAGUCGGGAGGACCUGGCACUGAACUCCCCCGGGAGGAAGAGAGGAAGAGUUAGGCGAGGAGUCGGGAGGACCUGGCAUCGAACUCCCCCCGGAGGAAGAGUUCAGCUGCUUAUCCUCUCUAUGUCUCAGUUUCUCCGCCUGUCAAACGGGCUAAGCCACACCGAGCCUGCCAGGCUGUCGUGAGGAUUACAGGCAAUGUGUAGCCAUCCCCAGCCAUCCUUGGCAUGUGGUAGGGACUCAGUAUGAGGUGCUGUUCUUUUUGUUAUCUCCAUACAGAAUCUUAUGACUGGCAAGCUCAAACUUCUUAUCCUGGAGGUUUCCUUAUAGAGUUUUUUAUUUUAUUUUUUUAAUUUCACAGACUAGUAAGAUUUCCAAAAAACAAGGGAUCGGUACAGGGUUGACAACUUUUAUUUUUCUGAGCAAGUCCAUUAAAACAAACAUUCAUUAGCACCAUACUUUCAUUAAAAAGGGAUAACUCCACACACAUACAUACACACGCACACACUCAGAUUAGAGAUGACAUGACAUCAGGAUAACGCAGCCUUUUAAAGUUGGGAACAAUUCAAUUUGCAAAUCAUGUACUACAGGCCGGGCGCCGUGGCUCACGCCUGUAAUCCCAGCACUUUCGGAGGCUGAGGCAGGUGGAUCACCUGAGGUCAGGAGUUCAAGACCAGCCUGGUCAACAUGGUGAAACCCCCUGUCUACUAAAAAUACAAAGAAAUUAGCUGGGCGUGGUGGCAGGUGCCUGUGAUCCCAGCUACUCGGGAGGCUGAGGCAGGAGACUCCCUUGAACCUGCGAGACAGAGGUUGCAGUGAGCCUAGAUCGCACCAUUGCACUCCAGCCUGGGCGACAGAGUGAGACUCCAUCUCCGAAAAAAAAAACCAUUUACUACAUUGUUAUUUUUUUCAUUUCCCCAUUAUUCAGAUUGGUGAAAACUGUGUCAUAUUCUGACAACUCUGCGAAGAUCUGUACUUGGGACCAUUGCUUCAGUUCAUUUGAUCCCCAAAACACCAAUGUGAGGAAAACUGGGUAGGGAUUAAAGCAGUGUUCCCAUCUUAUAGGUAAGCAAACUGAGUCGAGGUGAGAUGUUCUUUUGAGCUCUCAGUCUCUGUUCGUUAGGAUCACUUUCAUCAUCAUCAGAACCCUUACUGGAGGAUUUCCUAAGUGCCGUACAUGGUGCCAAGUCCCUUACAAGCAUGAGCUCAUCUCAUCCUCACAGCCACCCGGUAACUGAAGGGUGCUAUCAUUCCUCAUUUUAAUAAUAGGUAAAGCGAGGGUUAGACAGCUUAACUCUCCAAGGUCUAGGGUCACACAUAGAGUGAGUGGCAGAACCAGGAUUCAAACCCAAGCUUAGACUACUCCAAAGCUGCCCUGCUUUAUGGAUUUUGAUCUGCCUGCGGUCACUAGCUGGUAAGAGGGAAAUCGCAAACCCUAAGCAUUCUGACUCCUGGCCUGCUGCUUUCCCCUGGGGUAAAGGUCUGCCUCUUCCUGCUGCUCCAUCUGUCCAGACACACCAUCGCUUGGCUCCAUUACCUUUUGUUGACUAAAGAAAGAAACAAGCUUUCAAAGAAUUAAAGUUAGUUUUGUUUGAAAGUUUUAUUGACUAUUGCCUGGGGGGUAGACUUUUAGAGCGGUUUUAUUAGACUGUGUUAAGUUAGUAUUUUAGUUUAUAGUUUAUACACAGGUGGUGAAGAUUUAGUAUGUGUAAAAGUUGUCUAAGUUUGGGUGUACGAGCAUAUUUGGUUAUAGUUUAGAGGGAUAGCUAUUAACCUAGACAGGUGUUAUUUUAUGCGUAGGAGAAGGCAACUUAGAUAUAAUUGCCAGUGGGAACCUGGGACUGUGGUCAGAAGCCAAGCAAAUAAUCCGGCGUAAGAAUUAUUUACAUUAUCGGCUUGACUUUUAUAACCAGCAGGGAGCUGAAGGCACUCACCUCUUCCGCCUACUGGGACAUAAAACUUUCAGCCAGGAAAGGCAAAGAACCUCUUAGCACACUACUCUCAAUGGGUUAUGAGUCUAGCAGAUACUGGGAAAGGUGGUAUUCUCCAGGACUGUUUUAAUCUGUUUUGUGAUCUCGAUGAGGGGACAAAGCUAUAUCCCUGUUCCCUGUGUGAAUGAGCAGUUCCCAUUUUAUAAGCACAGAAUAAACAGGGAAAGUGAGUUGUUCUUGAUUUUCCAGUCAAGUGAAAGUUAGAUGCAGAAUCUUCUAUAGAGCUGGGCAGUCCAAGUCUCUACCUCAACCCUGCACUUCAGAUGGCUCCAAUGUAGGCCUUACUCCAGCUCCAGGUGGGGAAAUCCAUGGGGUUAGGGGCUGUGCUAGCAGCAGCCCCUGCAGCCCCUUCCAGACUCUGACAGACACAUGGGAUGACAGAGUUUCUGGAUCAAAUGGCUGGGAGCCACGUCUAGGGCCUGAACUAGCGUCUUGCCCAACUUGCAGAGGUCAGGAUGUGUCUCAGACAGGAGAAGAGGGGGGUACUAUUUUCAAGUCUGCCUGUGGGUUGAUCGUGCAUGCUCCUUACCCCACCUCACACAGACACUCACGCUCCUUCUCUCCCCAGCCCUUUCCCGCCAGAGCCAGCAGGAGAAUGGAGAUUCAUUUUCUAAAUAAGUUUAACAGAAGGGGCUUUGACGUUAGGGCCACCAGGAUCAAUGGAGGGUAGUGGGGUGCCACACAGGCUGCAAACGAGGAUUCAGUGAAAUCUACAUAAUGGACAUUGAGACUCUGCCCCUGUCCCUACCCUGCCGAGGAGUAGCUGCAGCCAGGCGCGUGCCCUCCGGGAGACUGGGCUCUGCCUCUCUAGAGAAACUGAACAGAUGACAGGAACAGACCUUGAGCGACUGGCAUCUGGGGGUCCUCUGACAAAGUGCCUGGCUUGUUCUCUGGGCAUUCACCGUACAAUAAGCUGGUGUUAUCACUGCUUGCCUGAAAAUGCCCUCAAUUCUCUUGCCCAGUCUCCUCCGUUGCAUUCACAAUCACACACCUCCAUGCUGUCCGAAGACCCUUGGAAGUUCUUCUGGAAAGCUUGCUGUCCCCUCUGCAAGGGAAUACUUGCACACUUUACUCUUUCUCCUCAAACUCUGUCACUUUCACCAGGUAACCUCGUCUCAUGUCUUUAAUAGCAGCCAUCAGGGAGAAACAGCCUCAUCGUCCCUCUCCCAAUGCUGGAACCAUCCCUCCAUCUGCACCAGCUUCUUCCCUCGGGCUCUGAUGGACAAGUAGCCUUCCCCCGCCCACAGAGACCCCCUCACCUCCCUCUCGAAGCCCUCUCCUCACCCACUCUAGGUUUCAGCUCCACUCUCUCCCUGUCUUCGGUCUUGGUCAUUCCUGUAACACACAGUUCCCCAUCCUCUCCCAUCUCUGACUAGCUUCUGCCUGGCUCUGCUCCUCUUCACAGUAAAACUUCCCGAAAACAUUGGCUGCACUCGCCAGGCCCCCUUCUCACCCCCGUUCACUCUCCUAAGCUUACUUACGUCAAGUUCACUCUCCUAAGCUUACUUAUGUAAAGUCUCUUCCAGGUUAUCCUUCCUGUGUUGUGGCUGCUGAUGCUCUAAGACUGAGGUUCAUCUCCUUACCUAGUUGUUUGGUUUUUUUAAACAGUAAGCUCAUCAUCACCCAGCAUUGUUUUUGGAGCAUUCCAUGUUCCUCGAGUUAAGAUUUCCCGGCCAGGUGCCGUGGCUCACGCCUGUAACCCCAGCAUUUUGGGAGGCCAAGGUGGGUGGAUCAUCUGAGGUCAGGAGUUCGAGACCAGCCUGGCGAACGUGGUGAAAUCCCAUCUCUACUAAAAGUACAAAAAUUAGCCUGGCGUGGUGGCGGGCAUCUGUAAUCCCAGCUACUCGGGAGGCUGAGGCAGGAGAAUGGCGUGAACCCAGGAAGUGGAGGCUGCAGUGAGCUGAGAUCGUACCAUUGCACUUCAGCCUGGGCGACAGGGCGAGACUCGGUCUCGAAAAAA
ensembl:lncRNA